UUCAAGCAAACAUGAAAUAUAUUAGAUUUUGAAGGCAAACGUUAACACUGCUUCUACACAUUGCCAUUCACAAAGACAAUAUUAACAAUCUUGAAAUUUUUCUCUAUUUUCAGAAGAAUGGGUCGGUCGCCUCGUCAGCUCUAGAUGGAUGACCAAGAAUCGCCAAAACGGUACUGCGGCCUUGAUGCGGGCCUCUGCGGCCAAUAAGGUCUCUUCAAGUUCUCGUCGGUCCGUCCGUCUGGUUUUCGGGUCUUUUUUUUUGUUGUGCUACCUUUUUAGCACCGUAGGACCAACAUCAGCUGAUUGGAGGACGAAAAUGUCCUUUAACUGCGUUGCUACCUAACCUAACCAUGAGCUCAUGUUUGGUUAUAGCCUGUAACCCAAACAACGGCAGUCCAAGGGUCGAACGUCAGUAAAGCAGUUUGGUUUGCUAGUCUGGAGAAACUAAAAAGAGUACCUUAGGAACGCUGGGGAAUGCAACAGCGUCUGGAUCCCUCGCUGGUGGAUGGUGUGCGUUGCGGAUGUGGCGGUGACCAGUGUGGCGGUGACCAGGGUGUCGGUAGCCGAUGUGGCGGUUGUUGAUGCAGCGGUUGGUGAUGGAAGCCUUCUUCUUUGUGCGGCAGUGGAGGUGGAGGAGGCGUGGAUUUUGAUUUUUAUGUUUUUGACUUUUAGUUUUGAAAUGUCCACUUGUUUAUUUUAAUUUUAAUUUCUAUUUCUUUUCAGGUUUUUAAUAUAUUCCUUUUUUCAGGUAUUUAACGUUCAUUUCAUUUCAGAUUUUUGACAAAGUUUUUCUUCUCUUUUUUUUUACGUUACCAUUUCAAUUGGCUCUUUAUGUAUCGUCUCUUCACUUUUCAGGCAUUUCAAAUUUUCUAUUUCCUUUUUUUUUUUUUUUUAAAACUGUCCUUUUUAUUUUGCUUAAAUCCGUUUUUUUCACAUUCAUAUGAAUUUAAAUAAAACACAUUUACCAAAUUUAUUUCUGGUCUUUUCUUUUACGUAUUUUUCUUGUUGAUCACUCCACCUCCGUACGCUGCCAAGUCCCAAUCGAAAAAGAAAGAAGCUUCCUUGGGUCACCGGCCGGCUUGGCUUGGAUUCGCCUCCAUCAUCAAAUUUGACUUCCAGCGGGCACCAACAAAACAUAUGGUGGUAGCCAUAAUUGUCAAUUGGUGUCAGCUGGCUGUCUCUUUCGUUGACAGAGGCGAAUUAAAACCAUCAGAUGGCGCUGGCGGUCUUCUAUCCGCUAACAGAUGUCGCUAGGGUCGCACAUUAGGCCGCACACUACAAACCAAACCAUCCUUUGAACAUCACUGUUAAAGGAUGGGAGGGAGAAAAAUAACAAUUUCUCUCAGUGUAUUCCAUGCCAUAAAGUGUAUAUGCUCCUUACGCCAAACCUAUCUCACUGUGUGUAGGUCCCAUUAAUAA